rnacentral:tRNA from 1 species
GGAGGAGUGUCCGAGUGGCCGAAGGAGCACGCUUGGAAAGCGUGUGUGCGUCACAAGCGUACCGAGGGUUCGAAUCCCUCCUCCUCCG